AUUUAACACUUUUGAAUUUGCCGUGUGGUUCCAAUCUAGCCACCAGCAUAUAAGACCAGCAUUCACAACAGAUCUCUGCCAGAUCUUCUGCUAACUCACGACUCACCUGGCAGUCACACUUCCCAAGCUAAGCUACUCACAUCUCCGCCUGGACGCUGGUUCUGUCAUCUGGUUGCUUCCUUUCCAUCAUUGGACUACCCCUGCCUGCCUCCCUGCCAAGUCCCUCGCUCCAAGUAUACUCUGGACACUCCUCACCCGGAACCCCUUGGACACCCCCUCCUCGCAUGACACUUUAACCUGCAACACUGACUGCGUACCUCCAUCCAAGCCGCUGCCCCUUUUUCCAUUCCCAGGAUCCGUCCAUGAAAUCUAGCACCUAGUCAUAGUACUCAGU